GGAAGGCGGAAGCUACGCCAUUAUUGCAUUCUUUAGCUACGUGGAAUGCGUUCGCGUCUCGCGCUGUGCGACAUAAUUUUAAACGUGUGAUUAGUUUUGUGCGCGGUGUAGAAAAAGGUGUGGCCCGUGCUUUAUGUAUUACUCGUGCUCCACUUCAAAGCAAAGCGUUCGUACGCACUGGAAGAUGGAUCCACGGACGCUGAGACGAGCAGUUGCAACGUGCCCUGUGUCGGCGGUCGGUAGUACUGCCAUAAUGGAAAUUUUCAGGCAAGUGUCCAUUUAUUUGGUAUUUCUUUGGUUUGUUACGUGUUUUUGUUCGCUCUAGAAGUAUCUUACUGUGAUCUCGUAGCAUAAUUCACUAAUGUAAGAGCAAGAGCAGCUGCACUCCUAGUAGGGCAAGUUAACUACCUCGAUCGCGCCCCGUCUUACAUCGGGCGUGAUGCGCCUGCAUAGUUACGCUUUUCUCAGCGCUUCAACGUUCAUAGAUGUGCUUCUUUUGUGCGUUCAGCGCGGCUUCUUGUAAUACGGUCGCUCGCACUUAAGUUAAAUGUGGUCGACCACUAUUGCGUCGCGUAGAAAAAGGACGACUGACUUUGCCACCUUUCGAAAGAACUGGCGCGGUAUUGGUUCUCCCUGAUGCGGUCGCGUGCUGCUGUUGCUGCUUGCCGGGCGCCUUCAGCAUGUUUUCGGCUCGCUUUGUCUGUGCGUGUGUGCGCGCUCGCGCUCGGCUCGAUUCGUGUGUGUGCGUGCGCUCAGCUCAGCUCGCUUUGUGUGUGUGUGUGUGUGUGUGUGUGUGUGUGUGUGUGUGUGUGUGUGUCUUGCGCGCGCAUACAUGCCGGUUUGUAUGGGCCGGCGUGCUUGCGUGUGUCUAGUGCGUACGUGUUUUGUGAGCGUGUUUCUGUGUGGGUCACUGUGUGUGCGUGCACGUGUUAGCGUGUCUGCCUGCAUGUAUGUGUGAUUGUGUUUAUCAAUGUGCGCGUGCGUGCCUUUGUGUCUGCGCUUUGAGAGUGCGUAUAUUUGUGUGCGCGCGAGUGCGUUUUGUGUGCGUGUGUAUGUAUUGCAUAAGGCCCGUAGAGUUUUACUCGCAAUAAAACUCUUCCAAUUUGGUGCAGCGAGUGUUGCCGCCUGAAAGCCGAGUUUGGUUUCAAGCCAACCUGGACAACUGCUGUAUCAGGCGCUGUUUCUCAGGAGGAUCAGUGGGAAGGCGUCAGGUCAUGCAGAUGAUAGCAUCAAUUUCAAAAUGCCCAGCCUUGGUGCCCUCUAUUAAGAGCAAGCCACUUGCGUUCACCUUCGGGCAGAUGGUUGAUGUCUUCUAGGAAGCAGUUGGGAAGACUACAUUGAUGCAAGAUUCCAGCAAUGCCAUGCGCUGCAUUUAUUGGUCAAGAUGCUCAGAGAAUGGAGUCCCUGCACCUCGUGGUGAAACGUGAACAUUUUCUUUCUUUUGGAAAGCUAAACGUCAUUUGCUGCAUCAAUUGCAUUCUUGCAGCUCAGAUGUGUACUAUAUUUUUUCUAAUUUUGAAUCAAUUAAUAUUCACUGUUCAGUAUAAAAAUGACGUACAGUGUGAAGGACAAGGACUGCGAGAGAUGACAUACACUGCGCUGACUUCGAACAAUAUUUUAUUGCGUUGCCACAUCGUGUGUUUAUACACAAGAAGGGCCAUGUGCAGAAAAUGAAAGGCAGUCACAAGGGGUGUUCUAACAGCAAGUCAUUGUACUAAAACAUGGUCACUAAAAAAAAUCACAAUUUCUAUCUGUGGAGAUACAAGACUUCACUAGGGGUCAGCGUGAUAGAGGGGGCACUAACGCACACACUACCCAUUUUUCUGGUGAAAUAAGCAUCAAUAAUGUACCGGGUGAGCUGUGUUUCGCUAGAACUUGCGUAUCUUCAAAGAGGGGCAUGCAGCGGCAGUCCCGGCAAUGAAUGCCCAAGUGGCCUUGAACAGUGUUAUGGACGUUAUAGUGCACUUUUAAACGAUCAUUUAGGCACCUGCCUGUCCGUCCAACAUAUUUACUGCCUCAAAACGGGAAUAUGGUAAACCACAUUCGUUACACAUAUCGCAAAACGUUUUCUGUGCCCGACAGAGCAAGAACUCUGACACGAUUUAGGCGCGUUUACACGCUUACAGAGCUUUGCCAGCUUUUCCGGGGCUGAGAAAAGGACUGGGAUUCCUGGAGGUUGCCAAAUCUUUUUUUAGCCUAUCGGAGACAUCAUGCACAUACGGUAGCACUGCGAACCAGUCUUUCAACCGGCUGGUUCCUUGUCUGAGUGCGCUCAUCACGUUUUGUGCCCUUCAGAAGCUGUUCCGCUAUGGCUGAAAUUAAGGCCAAGGGGUAGCCAACCCAAGAAAGGCGAUCAACCUGUGCAGCAAGACUAUCUUGCAUUUCAUGUGAGCAAGAUUUAUUGAGGCUGUUAACGAGGCAAAUCUUUACAAUACCUCGUUUAACAAGCUUUGAAUGUGCAGAGUUAAAGGGCAAGAGUGACUUCUUCUCGGUUCAAAACACUAGCCCACCUGUUUAUUUGUAAGGCACUUGCCUGAGAUCAAGAAAGCGCAAAGAAUCAUCAGUGGGGACCUCAUUUGUUAGUUCUAGAGGCUGCAGCUCUUAAAGAUCUCCAAGUCUCCCAAGCAGCAGGCACAAAAGCAUGAUCAGUGCAAUCAAUAAAUACCAGGUAGUCGUCCACAAACUUGCACACUUUGACAACGAGAGACGCAUCUAGGGGACCUUGAAUAUUUCAAUCAUGAUUAGCUAGAUAAAUAUCACUCAGUGGCGGCGCCAGGCAUG